rnacentral:rRNA from 1 species
GACGAACGCUGGCGGCGUGCUUAACACAUGCAAGUCGAACGGCAAGGCCCUGCUUUUGUGGGGUGCUCGAGUGGCGAACGGGUGAGUAACACGUGAGUAACCUGCUCUUGACUUUGGGAUAACUUCAGGUAACUGGGGCUAAUACCGGACAGCAUCCGCUGUUGCAUUGUGGGGGUUGGAUCGUUGCGGCGGUCGGGGAUGGACUCGCGGCUGAUCAGCUUGUUGGUUGGGUAGUGGCUUACCCAGGCUUUGGACGAUAGCCGGCCGGAGAGGGGGAACGGCCACAUUAGGACUGAGAUACGGCGCAGACUCCUACGGGAGGCAGCAGUGGGGAAUAUUGCACAAUGGGCGGAAGCCUGAUGCAGCAACGCCGCGUGUGGGAUGACGGCCUUCGGGUUGUAAACCGCAUUCGCCUGUGACGAAGCGUGAGUGACGGUAAUGAGUGAAGAAGCACCGGCUAACUACGUG